rnacentral:rRNA from 1 species
UGAGGGAUAUUGGGCAAUGGGGGAAACCCUGACCCAGCAACGCCGCGUGAGGGAUGACGGCCUUCGGGUUGUAAACCUCUGUCCUCUGUGAAGAUAGUGACGGUAGCAGAGGAGGAAGCUCCGGCUAACUACGUGCCAGCAGCCGCGGUAAUACGUAGGGAGCAAGCGUUGUCCGGAUUUACUGGGUGUAAAGGGUGCGUAGGCGGAUUGGCAAGUCAGAAGUGAAAUCCAUGGGCUUAACCCAUGAACUGCUUUUGAAACUGUUAGUCUUGAGUGAAGUAGAGGUAGGCGGAAUUCCCGGUGUAGCGGUGAAAUGCGUAGAGAUCGGGAGGAACACCAGUGGCGAAGGCGGCCUACUGGGCUUUAACUGACGCUGAGGCACGAAAGUGUGGGUAGCAAACAGGAUUAGAUACCCUGGUAGUCCACACUGUAAACGAUGAUUACUAGGUGUGGGGGGUCUAACCCCCUCCGUGCCGGAGUUAACACAAUAAGUAAUCCACCUGGGGAGUACGACCGCAAGGUUGAAACUCAAAGGAAUUGACGGGGGCCCGCACAAGCAGUGGAGUAUGUGGUUUAAUUCGACGCAACGCGAAGAACCUUACCGGGUCUUGACAUCCAACUAACGAAGCAGAGAUGCGUUAGGUGCCCUUCGGGGAAAGUUGAGACAGGUGGUGCAUGGUUGUCGUCAGCUCGUGUCGUGAGAUGUUGGGUUAAGUCCCGCAACGAGCGCAACCCUUGUGAUUAGUUGCUACGCAAGAGCACUCUAAUCAGACUGCCGUUGACAAAACGGAGGAAGGUGGGGACGACGUCAAAUCAUCAUGCCCUUUAUGACCUGGGCUACACACGUACUACAAUGGUCGUUAACAGAGGGAAGCAAUACCGCGAGGUGGAGCAAAACCCUAAAAACGGUCUCAGUUCAGAUUGUAGGCUGCAACUCGCCUACAUGAAGUUGGAAUUGCUAGUAAUCGCGGAUCAGCAUGCCGCGGUGAAUACGUUCCC